rnacentral:rRNA from 1 species
CCUACGGGAGGCAGCAGUGGGGAAUAUUGGGCAAUGGGCGCAAGCCUGACCCAGCAACGCCGCGUGCAGGAAGACGGCCCUCGGGUUGUAAACUUCUUUUUUUCGGGACGAAACAAAUGACGGUACCGAAGGAAUAAGCCACGGCUAACUACGUGCCAGCAGCCGCGGUAAUACGUAGGUGGCCAGCGUUAUCCGGAUUUACUGGGUGUAAAGGGCGUGUAGGCGGGAGAGCAAGGCAGACGUGAAAUUCCAGGGCUCAACCCUGGAACUGCGUUUGAAACUGUUCUGCUUGAGUGAGGGAGAGGCAGGCGGAAUUCGGUGUGUAGCGGUGAAAUGCGUAGAUAUACGGAGGAACACCAGUGGCGAAGGCGGCCUGCUGGACAUUAACUGACGCUGAGGCGCGAAGGCGUGGGGAGCAAACAGGAUUAGAUACCCGUGUAGUC